CAGCAGCCGCGGUAAUACGGAGGGUGCAAGCGUUAUCCGGAUUCACUGGGUUUAAAGGGCGCGUAGGCGGCCUGUUAAGUCGGAUGUGAAAGCCCGGGGCUCAACCCCGGAACUGCAUCCGAGACUGGCAGGCUUGAGACCGGGAGAGGAGGGUGGAAUAUCCAGUGUAGAGGUGAAAUUCGUAGAUAUUGGAUGGAACACCGGUGGCGAAAGCGGCUCUCUGGCCCGGAUCUGACGCUGAGGCGCGAAAGCGUGGGGAGCAAACAGGAUUAGAUACCCCUGUAGUCCCUGUCUCUUAUAC
rnacentral:rRNA from 1 species